rnacentral:rRNA from 1 species
UAAAGGAGAGAUCCGGCAUAGGAUGGACAUGCGUCGCAUUAGGUAGACGGCGGGGUAACGGCCCACCGUGCCGACGAUGCGUAGGGGUUCUGAGAGGAAGGCCCCCCACACUGGUACUGAGACACGGACCAGACUCCUACGGGAGGCAGCAGUGAGGAAUAUUGGUCAAUGGCCGAGAGGCUGAACCAGCCAAGUCGCGUGAGGGAAGAAUGUCCUAAGGAUUGUAAACCUCUUUUGUCGGGGAGCAAAAAGGCUCUGCGGAGUCGUAUUGAGAGUACCCGAAGAAAAAGCAUCGGCUAACUCCGUGCCAGCAGCCGCGGUAAUACGGAGGAUGCGAGCGUUAUCCGGAUUUAUUGGGUUUAAAGGGUGCGCAGGCGGCGUGUCAAGCAAGCGGUAAAAUAGCGGGGCUCAACCCCGUCGAGCCGUUUGAACUGGCGCGCUUGAGUUCAGGCGAGGUAGGCGGAAUUCGUGGUGUAGCGGUGAAAUGCAUAGAUAUCACGAAGAACUCCGAUUGCGAAGGCAGCUUACCAGUCUGCGACUGACGCUCAGGCACGAAAGUGUGGGUAUCGAACAGGAUUAGAUACCCUGGUAGUCCACACAGUAAACGAUGAGCGCUAGGUGUCCGGGUCGCAUG